AGAUCCUUAAUCAGUGUAUUACUCUGUUGUAAUGUGCUUUUGUAAUGUUGUGAGGUUGUUGUGUGUGUGAUGCUGUGCGGUUGUGGUGUGUGUGAUGCUGUGAGGUUGUUGUGUGUGUGAUGCUGUGAGGUUUGUUGUGUGUGUGAUGCUGUGCGGUUGUGGUGUGUGUGAUGCUGUGAGGUUGUUGUGUGUGUGAUGCUGUGCGGUUGUGGUGUGUGAUGCUGUGAGGUUGUUGUGUGAUGCUGUGAGGUUGGUGUGUGUGAUGCUGUGAGGUUGGUGUGUGUGUGAUGCUGUGAGGUUGGUGUGUGUGUGAUGCGGUGAGGUUGUUGUGUGUGAUGCUGUGAGGUUGGUGUGUGUGUGAUGCUGUGAGGUUGGUGUGUGUGUGAUGCUGUGAGGUUGUUGUGUGUGAUGCUGUGAGGUUUUUGUGUGUGAUGCUGUGAGGUUGUUGUGUGUGAUGCUGUGAGGUUGUUGUGUGUGAUGCUGUGAGGUUGGUGUGUGUGAUGCUGUGAGGUUGUUGUGUGUGAUGCUGUGAGGUUGGUGUGUGUGUGAUGCUGUGAGGUUGGUGUGUGUGUGAUGCUGUGAGGUUGGUGUGUGUGUGAUGCAGUGAGGUUGUUGUGUGUGAUGCUGUGAGGUUGGUGUGUGUGUGAUGCUGUGAGGUUGGUGUGUGUGAUGCUGUGAGGUUGGUGUGUGUGAUGCUGUGAGGUUGGUGUGUGUGAUGCUGUGAGGUUGGUGUGUGUGAUGCUGUGAGGUUGGUGUGUGUGAUGCUGUGAGGUUUGUGUGUGUGAUGCUGUGAGGUUGUUGUGUGUGAUGCUGUGAGGUUGUUGUGUGUGAUGCUGUGAGGUUGGUGUGUGUGUGAUGCUGUGAGGUUGGUGUGUGUGAUGCUGUGAGGUUGGUGUGUGUGAUGCUGUGAGGUUGGUGUGUGUGAUGCUGUGAGGUUGGUGUGUGUGAUGCUGUGAGGUUGGUGUGUGUGAUGCUGUGAGGUUGGUGUGUGUGAUGCUGUGAGGUUGUUGUGUGAUGCUGUGAGGUUGUUGUGUGAUGCUGUGAGGUUGUUGUGUGAUGCUGUGAGGUUGUGUGUGAUGCUGUGAGGUUGGUGUGUGUGUGUGAUGCUGUGAGGUUGGUGUGUGUGUGUGAUGCUGUGAGGUUGGUGUGUGUGUGUGAUGCUGUGAGGUUGGUGUGUGUGUGAUGCUGUGAGGAUGGUGUGUGUGUGAUGCUGUGAGGUUGGUGUGUGUGUGAUGCUGUGAGGUUGGUGUGUGUGAUGCUGUGAGGUUGAUGUGUGUGAUGCUGUGAGGUUGUUGUGUGUGAUGCUGUGAGGUUGUUGUGUGUGAUGCUGUGAGGUUGGUGUGUGUGUGAUGAUGUGAGGUUGGUGUGUGUGUGAUGCUGUGAGGUUGUUGUGUGUGAUGCUGUGAGGUUGUAGUGUGUGUGAUGCUGUGAGGUUGUUGUGUGUGAUGCUGUAAGGUUGUUGUGUGUGAUGCUGUAAGGUUGUUGUGUGUGAUGCUGUGAGGUUGGUGUGUGUGAUGCUGUGAGGUUGUUGUGUGUGAUGCUGUGAGGUUGGUGUGUGUGUGAGUCUGUGAGGUUAGUGUGUGUGAUGCUGUGAGGUUGGUGUGUGUGUGAUGCUGUGAGGUUGGUGUGUGUGAUGCUGUGAGGUUGGUGUGUGUGAUGCUGUGAGGUUGGUGUGUGUGAUGCGGUGAGGUUGGUGUGUGUGAUGCGGUGAGGUUGGUGUGUGUGAUGCUGUGAGGUUGGUGUGUGCGAUGCUGUGAGGUUGUUGUGUGCGAUGCUGUGAGGUUGGUGUGUGUGUGAUGCUUUGAGGUUGGUGUGACUGAUGCUGUGAGGUUGGUGUGUGUGAUGCUGUGAGGUUGGUGUGUGUGAUGCUGUGAGGUUGGUGUGUGUGAUGCUGUGAGGUUGGUGUGUGUGAUGCUGUGAGGUUGGUGUGUGUGAUGCUGUGAGGUUGGUGUGUGUGAUGCUGUGAGGUUGGUGUGUGUGAUGCUGUGAGGUUGUUGUGUGUGAUGCUGUGAGGUUGGUGUGUGUGAUGCUGUGAGGUUGUGGUGUGUGUGAUGCUGUGAGGUUGUUGUGUGUGUGAUGCUGUGAGGUUGGUGUCUGUGAUGCUGUGAGGUUGGUGUCUGUGAUGCUUUGAGGUUGUUGUGUGUGUGAUGCUGUGAGGUUGGUGUGUGUGUGAUGCUGUGAGGUUGGUGUGUGUGUGAUGCUGUGAGGUUGUGGUGUGUGUGAUGCUGUGAGGUUGUGGUGUGUGUGAUGCUGUGAGGUUGUGGUGUGUGUGAUGCUGUGAGGUUGUGCUGUGUGUGAAUCUGUGAAGUUGGUGUGUGUGAUGCUGUGAGGUUGGUGUGUGUGAUGCUGUGAGGUUGGUGUGUGUGAUGCUGUGAGGUGUGUGUGUGUGAUGCUGUGAGGUUGUUGUGUGUGUGAUGCUGUGAGGUUGUUGUGUGUGGGAUGCUGUGAGGUUGGUGUGUGUGAUGCUGUGAGGUUAUUUUGUGUGAUGCUGUGAGGUUAUUUUGUGUGAUGCUGUGAGGUUGGUGUGUGUGAUGCUGUGAGGUUGGUGUGUGUGAUGCUGUGAGGUUGUUGUGUGUGAUGCUGUGAGGUUGGUGUGUGUGAUGCUGUGAGGUUGGUGUGUGUGAUGCUGUGAGGUUGUUGUGUGUGAUGCUGUGAGGUUGGUGUGUGUGUGAGUCUGUGAGGUUAGUGUGUGUGAUGCUGUGAGGUUGGUGUGUGUGUGAUGCUGUGAGGUUGGUGUGUGUGAUGCUGUGAGGUUGGUGUGUGUGAUGCUGUGAGGUUGGUGUGUGUGAUGCGGUGAGGUUGGUGUGUGUGAUGCGGUGAGGUUGGUGUGUGUGAUGCUGUGAGGUUGGUGUGUGCGAUGCUGUGAGGUUGUUGUGUGCGAUGCUGUGAGGUUGGUGUGUGUGUGAUGCUGUGAGGUUGGUGUGACUGAUGCUGUGAGGUUGGUGUGUGUGAUGCUGUGAGGUUGGUGUGUGUGAUGCUGUGAGGUUGGUGUGUGUGAUGCUGUGAGGUUGGUGUGUGUGAUGCUGUGAGGUUGGUGUGUGUGAUGCUGUGAGGUUGGUGUGUGUGAUGCUGUGAGGUUGGUGUGUGUGAUGCUGUGAGGUUGUUGUGUGUGAUGCUGUGAGGUUGGUGUGUGUGAUGCUGUGAGGUUGUGGUGUGUGUGAUGCUGUGAGGUUGUUGUGUGUGUGAUGCUGUGAGGUUGGUGUCUGUGAUGCUGUGAGGUUGGUGUCUGUGAUGCUUUGAGGUUGUUGUGUGUGUGAUGCUGUGAGGUUGGUGUGUGUGUGAUGCUGUGAGGUUGGUGUGUGUGUGAUGCUGUGAGGUUGUGGUGUGUGUGAUGCUGUGAGGUUGUGGUGUGUGUGAUGCUGUGAGGUUGUGGUGUGUGUGAUGCUGUGAGGUUGUGCUGUGUGUGAAUCUGUGAAGUUGGUGUGUGUGAUGCUGUGAGGUUGGUGUGUGUGAUGCUGUGAGGUUGGUGUGUGUGAUGCUGUGAGGUGUGUGUGUGUGAUGCUGUGAGGUUGUUGUGUGUGUGAUGCUGUGAGGUUGUUGUGUGUGGGAUGCUGUGAGGUUGGUGUGUGUGAUGCUGUGAGGUUAUUUUGUGUGAUGCUGUGAGGUUAUUUUGUGUGAUGCUGUGAGGUUGGUGUGUGUGAUGCUGUGAGGUUGGUGUGUGUGAUGCUGUGAGGUUGUUGUGUGUGAUGCUGUGAGGUUGGUGUGUGUGAUGCUGUGAGGUUGGUGUGUGUGAUGCUGUGAGGUUGGUGUGUGAGGUUGGUGUGUGAUGCUGUGAGGUUGUGGUGUGUGUGAUGCUGUGAGGUUGUGGUGUGUGUGAUGCUGUGAGGUUGUUGUGUGUGUGAUGCUGUGAGGUUGUUGUGUGUGUGAUGCUGUGAGGUUGUUGUGUGUGUGAUGCUGUGAGGUUGGUGUGUGUGAUGCUGUGAGGUUGUUGUGUUUGAUGCUGUGAGGUUGGUGUGUGUGAUGCUGUGAGGUUGGUGUGUGUGAUGCUGUGAGGUUGUUGUGUGAUGCUGUGAGGUUGUGUGUGAUGCUGUGAGGUUGGUGUGUGUGUGUGAUGCUGUGAGGUUGGUGUGUGUGUGUGAUGCUGUGAGGUUGGUGUGUGUGUGAUGCUGUGAGGUUGGUGUGUGUGUGAUGCUGUGAGGUUGGUGUGUGUGAUGCUGUGAGGUUGAUGUGUGUGAUGCUGUGAGGUUGUUGUGUGUGAUGCUGUGAGGUUGUUGUGUGUGAUGCUGUGAGGUUGGUGUGUGUGAUGCUGUGAGGUUGGUGUGUGUGAUGCUGUGAGGUUGGUGUGUGUGAUGCGGUGAGGUUGGUGUGUGUGAUGCGGUGAGGUUGGUGUGUGUGAUGCUGUGAGGUUGUUGUGUGCGAUGCUGUGAGGUUGGUGUGUGUGUGAUGCUGUGAGGUUGGUGUGACUGAUGCUGUGAGGUUGGUGUGUGUGAUGCUGUGAGGUUGGUGUGUAUGAUGCUGUGAGGUUGGUGUGUGUGAUGCUGUGAGGUUGGUGUGUGUGAUGCUGUGAGGUUGGUGUGUGUGAUGCUGUGAGGUUGGUGUGUGUGAUGCUGUGAGGUUGGUGUGUGUGAUGCUGUGAGGUUGUUGUGUGUGAUGCUGUGAGGUUGGUGUGUGUGAUGCUGUGAGGUUGUGGUGUGUGUGAUGCUGUGAGGUUGUUGUGUGUGUGAUGCUGUGAGUUUGGUGUCUGUGAUGCUGUGAGGUUGGUGUCUGUGAUGCUUUGAGGUUGUUGUGUGUGUGAUGCUGUGAGGUUGGUGUGUGUGUGAUGCUGUGAGGUUGGUGUGUGUGUGAUGCUGUGAGGUUGUGGUGUGUGUGAUGCUGUGAGGUUGUGGUGUGUGUGAUGCUGUGAGGUUGUGGUGUGUGUGAUGCUGUGAGGUUGUGCUGUGUGUGAAUCUGUGAAGUUGGUGUGUGUGAUGCUGUGAGGUUGGUGUGUGUGAUGCUGUGAGGUUGGUGUGUGUGAUGCUGUGAGGUUGUUGUGUGUGAUGCUGUGAGGUUGGUGUGUGUGAUGCUGUGAGGUUGGUGUGUGUGAUGCUGUGAGGUUGGUGUGUGAUGCUGUGAGGUUGUGGUGUGUGUGAUGCUGUGAGGUUGUGGUGUGUGUGAUGCUGUGAGGUUGUUGUGUGUGUGAUGCUGUGAGGUUGUUGUGUGUGUGAUGCUGUGAGGUUGUUGUGUGUGUGAUGCUGUGAGGUUGGUGUGUGUGAUGCUGUGAGGUUGUUGUGUUUGAUGCUGUGAGGUUGGUGUGUGUGAUGCUGUGAGGUUGGUGUGUGUGAUGCUGUGAGGUUGUUGUGUGUGAUGCUGUGAGGUUGGUGUGUGUGAUGCUGUGAGGUUGGUGUGUGUGAUGCUGUGAGGUUGGUGUGUGUGAUGCUGUGAGGUUGGUGUGUGUGAUGCUGUGAGGUUGGUGUGUGUGAUGCUGUGAGGUUGGUGUGUGUGAUGCUGUGAGGUUGGUGUGUGUGAUGCUGUGAGGUUGUGGUGUGUGUGUGAUGCUGUGAGGUUGUUGUGUGUGUGAUGCUGUGAGGUUGGUGUCUGAUGCUGUGAGGUUGGUGUCUGUGAUGCUGUGAGGUUGUUGUGUGUGUGAUGCUGUGAGGUUGGUGUGUGUGUGAUGCUGUGAGGUUGUGGUGUGUGUGAUGCUGUGAGGUUGUGGUGUGUGUGAUGCUGUGAGGUUGUGGUGUGUGUGAUGCUGUGAGGUUGUGGUGUGUGUGAUGCUGUGAGGUUGUGGUGUGUGUGAAUCUGUGAAGUUGGUGUGUGUGAUGCUGUGAGGUUGGUGUGUGUGAUGCUGUGAGGUUGGUGUGUGUGAUGCUGUGAGGUUGGUGUGUGUGUGAUGCUGUGAGGUUGUUGUGUGUGGGAUGCUGUGAGGUUGGUGUGUGUGAUGCUGUGAGGUUGUUUUGUGUGAUGCUGUGAGGUUGGUGUGUGUGAUGCUGUGAGGUUGGUGUGUGUGAUGCUGUGAGGUUGGUGUGUGUGAUGCUGUGAGGUUGGUGUGUGUGAUGCUGUGAGGUUGGUGUGUGUGAUGCUGUGAGGUUGGUGUGUGAGGUUGGUGUGUGAUGUUGUGUGUGAUGCUGUGAGGUUGUGGUGUGUGUGAUGCUGUGAGGUUGUUGUGUGUGUGAUGCUGUGAGGUUGUGUGUGUGUGUGAUGCUGUGAGGUUGUGUGUGUGAUGCUGUGAGGUUGGUGUGUGUGAUACUGUGAGGUUGUUGUGUUUGAUGCUGUGAGGUUGGUAUGUGUGAUGCUGUGAGGUUGGUGUGUGUGAUGCUGUGAGGUUGGUGUGUGUGAUGCUGUGAGGUUGUAGUGUGUGUGAUGCUGUGAGGUUUUAGUGUGUGUGAUGCUGUGAGGUUGUUGUGUGAUGCUGUGAGGUUGUGUGUGAUGCUGUGAGGCUGUGUGUGAUGCUGUGAGGUUGGUGUGUGUGAUGCUGUGAGGUUGGUGUGUGAUGCUGUGAGGUUGUGUGUGAUGCUGUGAGGUUGGUGUGUGUGUGUGAUGCUGUGAGGUUGGUGUGGUUGGUGUGUGUGUGUGAUGCUGUGAGGUUGGUGUGUGUGUGAUGCUGUGAGGUUAAUGUGUGUGAUGCUGUGAGGUUGUUGUGUGUGAUGCUGUGAGGUUGUUGUGUGUGAUGCUGUGGGGUUGGUGUGUGUGUGAUGAUGUGAGGUUGGUGUGUGUGAUGCUGUGAGGUUGUAGUGUGUGUGAUGCUGUGAGGUUGUUGUGUGUGAUGCUGUAAGGUUGUUGUGUGUGAUGCUGUGAGGUUGUUGUGUGUGAUGCUGUGAGGUUGUUGUGUGUGAUGCUGUGAGGUUGGUGUGUGUGUGAUGCGGUGAGGUUGGUGUGUGUGUGAUGCGGUGAGGUUGGUGUGUGUGUAAUGCGGCGAGGUUGUUGUGUGUGAUGCUGUGAGGUUGGUGUGUGUGUGAUGCUGUGAGGUUGUUGUGUGUGAUGCUGUGAGGUUGUUGUGUGUGAUGCUGUGAGGUUGUUGUGUGAUGCUGUGAGGUUGUGUGUGAUGCUGUGAGGUUGGUGUGUGUGUGAUGCUGUGAGGUUGGUGUGUGUGUGUGAUGCUGUGAGGUUGGUGUGUGUGUGAUGCUGUGAGGUUGGUGUGUGUGUGAUGCUGUGAGGUUGGUGUGUGUGAUGCUGUGAGGUUGGUGUGUGUGAUGCUGUGAGGUUGAUGUGUGUGAUGCUGUGAGGUUGUUGUGUGUGAUGCUGUGAGGUUGGUGUGUGUGUGAUGAUGUGAGGUUGGUGUGUGUGUGAUGAUGUGAGGUUGGUGUGUGUGUGAUGCUGUGAGGUUGUUGUGUGUGAUGCUGUGAGGUUGUAGUGUGUGUGAUGCUGUGAGGUUGUUGUGUGUGAUGCUGUAAGGUUGUUGUGUGUGAUGCUGUGAGGUUGGUGUGUGUGAUGCUGUGAGGUUGUUGUGUGUGAUGCUGUGAGGUUGGUGUGUGUGUGAUGCGGUGAGGUUGGUGUGUGUGUGAUGCGGUGAGGUUGGUGUGUGUGUGAUGCGGCGAGGUUGUUGUGUGUGAUGCUGUGAGGUUGGUGUGUGUGUGAUGCUGUGAGGUUGUUGUGUGUGAUGCUGUGAGGUUGUUGUGUGUGAUGCUGUGAGGUUGUUGUGUGUGAUGCUGUGAGGUUGGUGUGUGUGAUGCUGUGAGGUUGGUGUGUGUGAUGCUGUGAGGUUGGUGUGUGUGAUGCUGUGAGGUUGUAGUGUGUGAUGCUGUGAGGUUGUAGUGUGUGAUGCUGUGAGGUUGUUGUGUGAUGCUGUGAGGUUGGUGUGUGUGAUGCUGUGAGGUUGGUGUGUGUGAUGCUGUGAGGUUGUUGUGUGUGAUGCUGUGAGGUUGGUGUGUGUGUGUGAUGCUGUGAGGUUGGUGUGUGAUGCUGUGAGGUUGUUGUGCGUGUGAUGCUGUGAGGUUGUUGUGUGCGAUGCUGUGAGGUUGUUGUGUGCGAUGCUGUGAGGUUGUAGUGUGCGAUGCUGUGAGGUUGGUGUGUGCGAUGCUGUGAGGUUAGUGUGUGUGAUGCUGUGAGGUUGGUGUGUGUGUGAUGCUGUGAGGUUGGUGUGUGUGAUGCUGUGAGGUUGGUGUGUGUGAUGCUGUGAGGUUGGUGUGUGUGAUGCGGUGAGGUUGGUGUGUGUGAUGCGGUGAGGUUGGUGUGUGUGAUGCUGUGAGGUUGGUGUGUGCGAUGCUGUGAGGUUGUUGUGUGCGAUGCUGUGAGGUUGUUGUGUGCGAUGCUGUGAGGUUGGUGUGUGUGUGAUGCUGUGAGGUUGGUGUGACUGAUGCUGUGAGGUUGGUGUGACUGAUGCUGUGAGGUUGGUGUGUGUGAUGCUGUGAGGUUGGUGUGUGUGAUGCUGUGAGGUUGGUGUGUGUGAUGCUGUGAGGUUGGUGUGUGUGAUGCUGUGAGGUUGGUGUGUGUGAUGCUGUGAGGUUGGUGUGUGUGAUGCUGUGAGGUUGUGGUGUGUGUGAUGCUGUGAGGUUGUGGUGUGUGUGAUGCUGUGAGGUUGUUGUGUGUGUGAUGCUGUGAGGUUGGUGUCUGAUGCUGUGAGGUUGGUGUCUGUGAUGCUGUGAGGUUGUUGUGUGUGUGAUGCUGUGAGGUUGGUGUGUGUGUGAUGCUGUGAGGUUGUGGUGUGUGUGAUGCUGUGAGGUUGUGGUGUGUGUGAUGCUGUGAGGUUGUGGUGUGUGUGAUGCUGUGAGGUUGUGGUGUGUGUGAAUCUGUGAAGUUGGUGUGUGUGAUGCUGUGAGGUUGGUGUGUGUGAUGCUGUGAGGUUGGUGUGUGUGAUGCUGUGAGGUUGGUGUGUGUGUGAUGCUGUGAGGUUGUUGUGUGUGGGAUGCUGUGAGGUUGGUGUGUGUGAUGCUGUGAGGUUGUUUUGUUUGAUGCUGUGAGGUUGGUGUGUGUGAUGCUGUGAGGUUGGUGUGUGUGAUGCUGUUAGGUUGGUGUGUGAUGCUGUGAGGUUGUUGUGUGUGAUGCUGUGAGGUUGGUGUGUGUGAUGCUGUGAGGUUGGUGUGUGUGAUGCUGUGAGGUUGGUGUGUGAGGUUGGUGUGUGAUGUUGUGUGUGAUGCUGUGAGGUUGCGGUGUGUGUGAUGCUGUGAGGUUGUUGUGUGUGUGAUGCUGUGAGGUUGUUGUGUGUGUGAUGCUGUGAGGUUGUUUGUGUGAUGCUGUGAGGUUGGUGUGUGUGAUACUGUGAGGUUGUUGUGUUUGAUGCUGUGAGGUUGGUAUGUGUGAUGCUGUGAGGUUGGUGUGUGUGAUGCUGUGAGGUUGUAGUGUGUGUGAUGCUGUGAGGUUGUAGUGUGUGUGAUGCUGUGAGCUUGUUGUGUGUGUGAUGCUGUGAGGUUGUUGUGUGUGUGAUGCUGUGAGGUUGUAGUGUGUGUGAUGCUGUGAGGUUGUAGUGUGUGUGAUGCUGUGAGGUUGUAGUGUGUGUGAUGCUGUGAGGUUGUAGUGUGUGUGAUGCUGUGAGGUUGUUGUGUGUGUGAUGCUGUGAGGUUGUUGUGUGUGAUGCUGUGAGGUUGUUGUGUGUGAUGCUGUGAGGUUGUAGUGUGUGAUGCUGUGAGGUUGGUGUGUGUGUGAUGCUGUGAGGUUGGUGUGUGUGUGAUGCUGUGAGGUUGGUGUGUGUGUGAUGCUGUGAGGUUGGUGUGUGUGUGAUGCUGUGAGGUUGGUGUGUGUGAUGCGGUGAGGUUGUAGUGUGUGAUGCGGUGAGGUUGGUGUGUGUGUGAUGCGGUGAGGUUGGUGUGUGUGAUGCUGUGAGGUUGUUGUGUGUGAUGCUGUGAGGUUGGUGUGUGUGAUGCUGUGAGGUUGUAGUGUGUGUGAUGCUGUGAGGUUGUAGUGUGUGUGAUGCUGUGAGGUUGUGUGAUGCUGUGAGGUUGUGUGUGAUGCUGUGAGGUUGGUGUGUGUGAUGCUGUGAGGUUGGUGUGUGAUGCUGUGAGGUUGUGUGUGAUGCUGUGAGGUUGGUGUGUGUGUGUGAUGCUGUGAGGUUGGUGUGUGUGUGUGAUGCUGUGAGGUUGGUGUGUGUGUGAUGCUGUGAGGUUGGUGUGUGUGUGAUGCUGUGAGGUUGGUGUGUGUGAUGCUGUGAGGUUGAUGUGUGUGAUGCUGUGAGGUUGUUGUGUGUGAUGCUGUGAGGUUGUUGUGUGUGAUGCUGUGAGGUUGGUGUGUGUGUGAUGAUGUGAGGUUGGUGUGUGUGUGAUGCUGUGAGGUUGGUGUGUGUGAUGCUGUGAGGUUGUAGUGUGUGUGAUGCUGUGAGGUUGUUGUGUGUGAUGCUGUAAGGUUGUUGUGUGUGAUGCUGUGAGGUUGUAGUGUGUGUGAUGCUGUGAGGUUGUUGUGUGUGAUGCUGUAAGGUUGUUGUGUGUGAUGCUGUGAGGUUGUUGUGUGUGAUGCUGUGAGGUUGUUGUGUGUGAUGCUGUGAGGUUGGUGUGUGUGUGAUGCGGUGAGGUUGGUGUGUGUGUGAUGCGGUGAGGUUGGUGUGUGUGAUACUGUGAGGUUGUUGUGUUUGAUGCUGUGAGGUUGGUAUGUGUGAUGCUGUGAGGUUGGUGUGUGUGAUGCUGUGAGGUUGUAGUGUGUGUGAUGCUGUGAGGUUGUUGUGUGUGUGAUGCUGUGAGGUUGUUGUGUGUGAUGCUGUGAGGUUGUUGUGUGUGAUGCUGUGAGGUUGUAGUGUGUGAUGCUGUGAGGUUGGUGUGUGUGUGAUGCUGUGAGGUUGGUGUGUGUGUGAUGCUGUGAGGUUGGUGUGUGUGUGAUGCUGUGAGGUUGGUGUGUGUGUGAUGCUGUGAGGUUGGUGUGUGUGAUGCGGUGAGGUUGUAGUGUGUGAUGCGGUGAGGUUGGUGUGUGUGUGAUGCGGUGAGGUUGGUGUGUGUGAUGCUGUGAGGUUGUUGUGUGUGAUGCUGUGAGGUUGGUGUGUGUGAUGCUGUGAGGUUGUAGUGUGUGUGAUGCUGUGAGGUUGUAGUGUGUGUGAUGCUGUGAGGUUGUGUGAUGCUGUGAGGUUGUGUGUGAUGCUGUGAGGUUGGUGUGUGUGAUGCUGUGAGGUUGGUGUGUGAUGCUGUGAGGUUGUGUGUGAUGCUGUGAGGUUGGUGUGUGUGUGUGAUGCUGUGAGGUUGGUGUGUGUGUGUGAUGCUGUGAGGUUGGUGUGUGUGUGAUGCUGUGAGGUUGGUGUGUGUGUGAUGCUGUGAGGUUGGUGUGUGUGAUGCUGUGAGGUUGAUGUGUGUGAUGCUGUGAGGUUGUUGUGUGUGAUGCUGUGAGGUUGUUGUGUGUGAUGCUGUGAGGUUGGUGUGUGUGUGAUGAUGUGAGGUUGGUGUGUGUGUGAUGCUGUGAGGUUGGUGUGUGUGAUGCUGUGAGGUUGUAGUGUGUGUGAUGCUGUGAGGUUGUUGUGUGUGAUGCUGUAAGGUUGUUGUGUGUGAUGCUGUGAGGUUGUAGUGUGUGUGAUGCUGUGAGGUUGUUGUGUGUGAUGCUGUAAGGUUGUUGUGUGUGAUGCUGUGAGGUUGGUGUGUGUGAUGCUGUGAGGUUGUUGUGUGUGAUGCUGUGAGGUUGGUGUGUGUGAUGCUGUGAGGUUGUAGUGUGUGUGAUGCUGUGAGGUUGUAGUGUGUGUGAUGCUGUGAGGUUGUUGUGUGAUGCUGUGAGGUUGUGUGUGAUGCUGUGAGGUUGGUGUGUGUGAUGCUGUGAGGUUGGUGUGUGAUGCUGUGAGGUUGUGUGUGAUGCUGUGAGGUUGGUGUGUGUGUGUGAUGCUGUGAGGUUGGUGUGGUUGGUGUGUGUGUGUGAUGCUGUGAGUUUGGUGUGUGUGUAAUGCUGUGAGGUUGGUGUGUGUGUGAUGCUGUGAGGUUGGUGUGUGUGAUGCUGUGAGGUUGAUGUGUGUGAUGCUGUGAGGUUGUUGUGUGUGAUGCUGUGAGGUUGUUGUGUGUGAUGCUGUGGGGUUGGUGUGUGUGUGAUGAUGUGAGGUUGGUGUGUGUGUGAUGCUGUGAGGUUGGUGUGUGUGAUGCUGUGAGGUUGUAGUGUGUGUGAUGCUGUGAGGUUGUUGUGUGUGAUGCUGUAAGGUUGUUGUGUGUGAUGCUGUGAGGUUGUAGUGUGUGUGAUGCUGUGAGGUUGUUGUGUGUGAUGCUGUAAGGUUGUUGUGUGUGAUGCUGUGAGGUUGGUGUGUGUGAUGCUGUGAGGUUGUUGUGUGUGAUGCUGUGAGGUUGGUGUGUGUGUGAUGCGGUGAGGUUGGUGUGUGUGUGAUGCGGUGAGGUUGGUGUGUGUGUGAUGCGGCGAGGUUGUUGUGUGUGAUGCUGUGAGGUUGGUGUGUGUGUGUGAUGCUGUGAGGUUGGUGUGUGUGUGAUGCUGUGAGGUUGGUGUGUGUGUGAUGCUGUGAGGUUGGUGUGUGUGAUGCUGUGAGGUUGAUGUGUGUGAUGCUGUGAGGUUGUUGUGUGUGAUGCUGUGAGGUUGUUGUGUGUGUGAUGAUGUGAGGUUGGUGUGUGUGUGAUGCUGUGAGGUUGGUGUGUGUGAUGCUGUGAGGUUGGUGUGUGUGUGAUGAUGUGAGGUUGGUGUGUGUGUGAUGCUGUGAGGUUGGUGUGUGUGAUGCUGUGAGGUUGUAGUGUGUGUGAUGCUGUGAGGUUGUUGUGUGUGAUGCUGUAAGGUUGUUGUGUGUGAUGCUGUGAGGUUGUAGUGUGUGUGAUGCUGUGAGGUUGUUGUGUGUGAUGCUGUAAGGUUGUUGUGUGUGAUGCUGUGAGGUUGGUGUGUGUGAUGCUGUGAGGUUGUUGUGUGUGAUGCUGUGAGGUUGGUGUGUGUGAUGCUGUGAGGUUGUAGUGUGUGUGAUGCUGUGAGGUUGUAGUGUGUGUGAUGCUGUGAGGUUGUUGUGUGAUGCUGUGAGGUUGUGUGAUGCUGUGAGGUUGUGUGUGAUGCUGUGAGGUUGGUGUGUGUGAUGCUGUGAGGUUGGUGUGUGAUGCUGUGAGGUUGUGUGUGAUGCUGUGAGGUUGGUGUGUGUGUGUGAUGCUGUGAGGUUGGUGUGGUUGGUGUGUGUGUGUGAUGCUGUGAGGUUGGUGUGUGUGUGAUGCUGUGAGGUUGGUGUGUGUGUGAUGCUGUGAGGUUGGUGUGUGUGAUGCUGUGAGGUUGAUGUGUGUGAUGCUGUGAGGUUGUUGUGUGUGAUGCUGUGAGGUUGUUGUGUGUGAUGCUGUGGGGUUGGUGUGUGUGUGAUGAUGUGAGGUUGGUGUGUGUGUGAUGCUGUGAGGUUGGUGUGUGUGAUGCUGUGAGGUUGUAGUGUGUGUGAUGCUGUGAGGUUGUUGUGUGUGAUGCUGUAAGGUUGUUGUGUGUGAUGCUGUGAGGUUGUUGUGUGUGAUGCUGUGAGGUUGUUGUGUGUGAUGCUGUGAGGUUGGUGUGUGUGUGAUGCGGUGAGGUUGGUGUGUGUGUGAUGCGGUGAGGUUGGUGUGUGUGUAAUGCGGCGAGGUUGUUGUGUGUAAUGCUGUGAGGUUGGUGUGUGUGUGAUGCUGUGAGGUUGUUGUGUGUGAUGCUGUGAGGUUGUUGUGUGUGAUGCUGUGAGGUUGUUGUGUGAUGCUGUGAGGUUGUGUGUGAUGCUGUGAGGUUGGUGUGUGUGUGUGAUGCUGUGAGGUUGGUGUGUGUGUGUGAUGCUGUGAGGUUGGUGUGUGUGUGUGAUGCUGUGAGGUUGGUGUGUGUGUGAUGCUGUGAGGUUGGUGUGUGUGUGAUGCUGUGAGGUUGGUGUGUGUGAUGCUGUGAGGUUGAUGUGUGUGAUGCUGUGAGGUUGUUGUGUGUGAUGCUGUGAGGUUGUUGUGUGUGAUGCUGUGAGGUUGGUGUGUGUGUGAUGAUGUGAGGUUGGUGUGUGUGUGAUGCUGUGAGGUUGUUGUGUGUGAUGCUGUGAGGUUGGUGUGUGUGAUGCUGUGAGGUUGGUGUGUGUGAUGCUGUGAGGUUGGUGUGUGUGAUGCUGUGAGGUUGUAGUGUGUGAUGCUGUGAGGUUGUAGUGUGUGAUGCUGUGAGGUUGUUGUGUGAUGCUGUGAGGUUGGUGUGUGUGAUGCUGUGAGGUUGGUGUGUGUGAUGCUGUGAGGUUGUUGUGUGUGAUGCUGUGAGGUUGGUGUGUGUGUGUGAUGCUGUGAGGUUGGUGUGUGAUGCUGUGAGGUUGUUGUGCGUGUGAUGCUGUGAGGUUGUUGUGUGCGAUGCUGUGAGGUUGUUGUGUGCGAUGCUGUGAGGUUGUAGUGUGCGAUGCUGUGAGGUUGGUGUGUGUGUGAUGCUGUGAGGUUAGUGUGUGUGAUGCUGUGAGGUUGGUGUGUGUGAUGCUGUGAGGUUGGUGUGUGUGAUGCUGUGAGGUUGGUGUGUGUGAUGCGGUGAGGUUGGUGUGUGUGAUGCGGUGAGGUUGGUGUGUGUGAUGCUGUGAGGUUGGUGUGUGUGAUGCUGUGAGGUUGUUGUGUGAUGCUGUGAGGUUGUGUGUGAUGCUGUGAGGUUGGUGUGUGUGUGUGAUGCUGUGAGGUUGGUGUGUGUGUGUGAUGCUGUGAGGUUGGUGUGUGUGUGUGAUGCUGUGAGGUUGGUGUGUGUGUGAUGCUGUGAGGUUGGUGUGUGUGUGAUGCUGUGAGGUUGGUGUGUGUGAUGCUGUGAGGUUGAUGUGUGUGAUGCUGUGAGGUUGUUGUGUGUGAUGCUGUGAGGUUGUUGUGUGUGAUGCUGUGAGGUUGGUGUGUGUGUGAUGAUGUGAGGUUGGUGUGUGUGUGAUGCUGUGAGGUUGUUGUGUGUGAUGCUGUGAGGUUGUUGUGUGUGAUGCUGUGAGGUUGUUGUGUGUGAUGCUGUGAGGUUGGUGUGUGUGAUGCUGUGAGGUUGGUGUGUGUGAUGCUGUGAGGUUGGUGUGUGUGAUGCUGUGAGGUUGUAGUGUGUGAUGCUGUGAGGUUGUAGUGUGUGAUGCUGUGAGGUUGUUGUGUGAUGCUGUGAGGUUGGUGUGUGUGAUGCUGUGAGGUUGGUGUGUGUGAUGCUGUGAGGUUGUUGUGUGUGAUUCUGUGAGGUUGGUGUGUGUGUGUGAUGCUGUGAGGUUGGUGUGUGAUGCUGUGAGGUUGUUGUGCGUGUGAUGCUGUGAGGUUGUUGUGUGCGAUGCUGUGAGGUUGUUGUGUGCGAUGCUGUGAGGUUGUAGUGUGCGAUGCUGUGAGGUUGGUGUGUGUGUGAUGCUGUGAGGUUGGUGUGUGUGUGAUGCUGUGAGGUUGGUGUGUGUGAUGCUGUGAGGUUGGUGUGUGUGAUGCUGUGAGGUUGGUGUGUGUGAUGCGGUGAGGUUGGUGUGUGUGAUGCGGUGAGGUUGGUGUGUGUGAUGCUGUGAGGUUGGUGUGUGUGAUGCUGUGAGGUUGGUGUGUGCGAUGCUGUGAGGUUGUUGUGUGCGAUGCUGUGAGGUUGUUGUGUGCGAUGCUGUGAGGUUGGUGUGACUGAUGCUGUGAGGUUGGUGUGACUGAUGCUGUGAGGUUGGUGUGUGUGAUGCUGUGAGGUUGGUGUGUGUGAUGCUGUGAGGUUGGUGUGUGUGAUGCUGUGAGGUUGGUGUGUGUGAUGCUGUGAGGUUGGUGUGUGUGAUGCUGUGAGGUUGGUGUGUGUGAUGCUGUGAGGUUGGUGUGUGUGAUGCUGUGAGGUUGUGGUGUGUGUGAUGCUGUGAGGUUGUUGUGUGUGUGAUGCUGUGAGGUUGUUGUGUGUGUGAUGCUGUGAGGUUGUUGUGUGUGAUGCUGUGAGGUUGUAGUGUGUGAUGCUGUGAGGUUGGUGUGUGUGUGAUGCUGUGAGGUUGGUGUGUGUGUGAUGCUGUGAGGUUGUUGUGUGUGUGAUGCUGUGAGGUUGGUGUGUGUGUGAUGCUGUGAGGUUGGUGUGUGUGUGAUGCUGUGAGGUUGGUGUGUGUGUGAUGCUGUGAGGUUGGUGUGUGUGAUGCGGUGAGGUUGUAGUGUGUUAUGCGGUGAGGUUGGUGUGUGUGUGAUGCGGUGAGGUUGGUGUGUGUGUGAUGCUGUGAGGUUGUUGUGUGUGAUGCUGUGAGGUUGUUGUGUGUGAUGCUGUGAGGUUGUUGUGUGUGAUGCUGUGAGGUUGGUGUGUGUGUGAUGCUGUGAGGUUGUUGUGUGUGAUGCUGUGAGGUUGUUGUGUGUGAUGCUGUGAGGUUGUUGUGUGAUGCUGUGAGGUUGUGUGUGAUGCUGUGAGGUUGGUGUGUGUGUGUGAUGCUGUGAGGUUGGUGUGUGUGUGUGAUGCUGUGAGGUUGGUGUGUGUGUGUGAUGCUGUGAGGUUGGUGUGUGUGUGAUGCUGUGAGGUUGGUGUGUGUGUGAUGCUGUGAGGUUGGUGUGUGUGAUGCUGUGAGGUUGAUGUGUGUGAUGCUGUGAGGUUGUUGUGUGUGAUGCUGUGAGGUUGUUGUGUGUGAUGCUGUGAGGUUGGUGUGUGUGUGAUGAUGUGAGGUUGGUGUGUGUGUGAUGCUGUGAGGUUGUUGUGUGUGAUGCUGUGAGGUUGUUGUGUGUGAUGCUGUGAGGUUGGUGUGUGUGAUGCUGUGAGGUUGGUGUGUGUGAUGCUGUGAGGUUGGUGUGUGUGAUGCUGUGAGGUUGGUGUGUGUGAUGCUGUGAGGUUGUAGUGUGUGAUGCUGUGAGGUUGUAGUGUGUGAUGCUGUGAGGUUGUUGUGUGAUGCUGUGAGGUUGGUGUGUGUGAUGCUGUGAGGUUGGUGUGUGUGAUGCUGUGAGGUUGUUGUGUGUGAUGCUGUGAGGUUGGUGUGUGUGUGUGAUGCUGUGAGGUUGGUGUGUGAUGCUGUGAGGUUGUUGUGCGUGUGAUGCUGUGAGGUUGUUGUGUGCGAUGCUGUGAGGUUGUUGUGUGCGAUGCUGUGAGGUUGUAGUGUGCGAUGCUGUGAGGUUGGUGUGUGUGUGAUGCUGUGAGGUUAGUGUGUGUGAUGCUGUGAGGUUGGUGUGUGUGUGAUGCUGUGAGGUUGGUGUGUGUGAUGCUGUGAGGUUGGUGUGUGUGAUGCUGUGAGGUUGGUGUGUGUGAUGCGGUGAGGUUGGUGUGUGUGAUGCGGUGAGGUUGGUGUGUGUGAUGCUGUGAGGUUGGUGUGUGCGAUGCUGUGAGGUUGUUGUGUGCGAUGCUGUGAGGUUGUUGUGUGCGAUGCUGUGAGGUUGGUGUGUGUGUGAUGCUGUGAGGUUGGUGUGACUGAUGCUGUGAGGUUGGUGUGACUGAUGCUGUGAGGUUGGUGUGUGUGAUGCUGUGAGGUUGGUGUGUGUGAUGCUGUGAGGUUGGUGUGUGUGAUGCUGUGAGGUUGGUGUGUGUGAUGCUGUGAGGUUGGUGUGUGUGAUGCUGUGAGGUUGGUGUGUGUGAUGCUGUGAGGUUGGUGUGUGUGAUGCUGUGAGGUUGUGGUGUGUGUGAUGCUGUGAGGUUGUUGUGUGUGUGAUGCUGUGAGGUUGGUGUCUGAUGCUGUGAGGUUGGUGUCUGUGAUGCUGUGAGGUUGUUGUGUGUGUGAUGCUGUGAGGUUGGUGUGUGUGUGAUGCUGUGAGGUUGUGGUGUGUGUGAUGCUGUGAGGUUGUGGUGUGUGUGAUGCUGUGAGGUUGUGGUGUGUGUGAUGCUGUGAGGUUGUGGUGUGUGUGAAUCUGUGAAGUUGGUGUGUGUGAUGCUGUGAGGUUGGUGUGUGUGAUGCUGUGAGGUUGGUGUGUGUGAUGCUGUGAGGUUGGUGUGUGUGUGAUGCUGUGAGGUUGUUGUGUGUGGGAUGCUGUGAGGUUGGUGUGUGUGAUGCUGUGAGGUUGUUUUGUGUGAUGCUGUGAGGUUGGUGUGUGUGAUGCUGUGAGGUUGGUGUGUGUGAUGCUGUUAGGUUGGUGUGUGAUGCUGUGAGGUUGUUGUGUGUGAUGCUGUGAGGUUGGUGUGUGUGAUGCUGUGAGGUUGGUGUGUGUGAUGCUGUGAGGUUGGUGUGUGAGGUUGGUGUGUGAUGUUGUGUGUGAUGCUGUGAGGUUGCGGUGUGUGUGAUGCUGUGAGGUUGUUGUGUGUGUGAUGCUGUGAGGUUGUUGUGUGUGUGAUGCUGUGAGGUUGUUGUGUGUGUGAUGCUGUGAGGUUGUGUGUGUGAUGCUGUGAGGUUGGUGUGUGUGAUACUGUGAGGUUGUUGUGUUUGAUGCUGUGAGGUUGGUAUGUGUGAUGCUGUGAGGUUGGUGUGUGUGAUGCUGUGAGGUUGUAGUGUGUGUGAUGCUGUGAGGUUGUAGUGUGUGUGAUGCUGUGAGGUUGUUGUGUGUGUGAUGCUGUGAGGUUGUUGUGUGUGUGAUGCUGUGAGGUUGUAGUGUGUGUGAUGCUGUGAGGUUGUAGUGUGUGUGAUGCUGUGAGGUUGUAGUGUGUGUGAUGCUGUGAGGUUGUAGUGUGUGUGAUGCUGUGAGGUUGUUGUGUGUGUGAUGCUGUGAGGUUGUUGUGUGUGAUGCUGUGAGGUUGUUGUGUGUGAUGCUGUGAGGUUGUAGUGUGUGAUGCUGUGAGGUUGGUGUGUGUGAUGCUGUGAGGUUGGUGUGUGUGUGAUGCUGUGAGGUUGGUGUGUGUGUGAUGCUGUGAGGUUGGUGUGUGUGAUGCGGUGAGGUUGUAGUGUGUGAUGCGGUGAGGUUGGUGUGUGUGUGAUGCGGUGAGGUUGGUGUGUGUGAUGCUGUGAGGUUGUUGUGUGUGAUGCUGUGAGGUUGGUGUGUGUGAUGCUGUGAGGUUGUAGUGUGUGUGAUGCUGUGAGGUUGUAGUGUGUGUGAUGCUGUGAGGUUGUUGUGUGAUGCUGUGAGGUUGUGUGUGAUGCUGUGAGGUUGGUGUGUGUGAUGCUGUGAGGUUGGUGUGUGAUGCUGUGAGGUUGUGUGUGAUGCUGUGAGGUUGGUGUGUGUGUGUGAUGCUGUGAGGUUGGUGUGUGUGUGUGAUGCUGUGAGGUUGGUGUGUGUGUGAUGCUGUGAGGUUGGUGUGUGUGUGAUGCUGUGAGGUUGGUGUGUGUGAUGCUGUGAGGUUGAUGUGUGUGAUGCUGUGAGGUUGUUGUGUGUGAUGCUGUGAGGUUGUUGUGUGUGAUGCUGUGAGGUUGGUGUGUGUGUGAUGAUGUGAGGUUGGUGUGUGUGUGAUGCUGUGAGGUUGGUGUGUGUGAUGCUGUGAGGUUGUAGUGUGUGUGAUGCUGUGAGGUUGUUGUGUGUGAUGCUGUAAGGUUGUUGUGUGUGAUGCUGUGAGGUUGUAGUGUGUGUGAUGCUGUGAGGUUGUUGUGUGUGAUGCUGUAAGGUUGUUGUGUGUGAUGCUGUGAGCUUGUUGUGUGUGAUGCUGUGAGGUUGUUGUGUGUGAUGCUGUGAGGUUGGUGUGUGUGUGAUGCGGUGAGGUUGGUGUGUGUGUGAUGCGGUGAGGUUGGUGUGUGUGUAAUGCGGCGAGGUUGUUGUGUGUGAUGCUGUGAGGUUGUUGUGUGUGAUGCUGUGAGGUUGUUGUGUGUGAUGCUGUGAGGUUGGUGUGUGUGAUGCUGUGAGGUUGGUGUGUGUGAUGCUGUGAGGUUGGUGUGUGUGAUGCUGUGAGGUUGGUGUGUGUGAUGCUGUGAGGUUGGUGUGUGUGAUGCUGUGAGGUUGGUGUGUGUGAUGCUGUGAGGUUGGUGUGUGUGAUGCUGUGAGGUUGUAGUGUGUGAUGCUGUGAGGUUGUAGUGUGUGAUGCUGUGAGGUUGUAGUGUGUGAUGCUGUGAGGUUGGUGUGUGUGUGAUGCUGUGAGGUUGGUGUGUGUGAUGCUGUGAGGUUGUUGUGUGAUGCUGUGAGGUUGGUGUGUGUGAUGCUGUGAGGUUGGUGUGUGUGAUGCUGUGAGGUUGGUGUGUGUGAUGCUGUGAGGUUGGUGUGUGUGAUGCUGUGAGGUUGGUGUGUGUGAUGCUGUGAGGUUGGUGUGUGUGAUGCUGUGAGGUUGGUGUGUGUGUGUGAUGCUGUGAGGUUGGUGUGUGUGUGAUGCUGUGAGGUUGUUGUGCGUGUGAUGCCGUGAGGUUGUUGUGUGCGAUGCCGUGAGGUUGUUGUGUGCGAUGCUGUGAGGUUGUAGUGUGCGAUGCUGUGAGGUUGGUGUGUGUGUGAUGCUUUGAGGUUAGUGUGUGUGAUGCUGUGAGGUUGGUGUGUGUGUGAUGCUGUGAGGUUGGUGUGUGUGAUGCUGUGAGGUUGGUGUGUGUGAUGCGCUGAGGUUGGUGUGUGCGAUGCUGUGAGGUUGGUGUGUGCGAUGCUGUGAGGUUGGUGUGUGCGAUGCUGUGAGGUUGGUGUGUGUGUUUGAUGCUGUGAGGUUGGUGUGACUGAUGCUGUGAGGUUGGUGUGUGUGAUGCUGUGAGGUUGGUGUGUGAUGCUGUGAGGUUGGUGUGUGUGAUGCUGUGAGGUUGGUGUGUGUGAUGCUGUGAGGUUGAUGUGUGUGAUGCUGUGAGGUUGGUGUGUGUGAUGCUGUGAGGUUGGUGUGUGUGAUGCUGUGAGGUUGGUGUGUGUGAUGCUGUGAGGUUGUGGUGUGUGUGAUGCUGUGAGGUUGUUGUGUGUGUGAUGCUGUGAGGUUGGUGUCUGUGAUGCUGUGAGGUUGGUGUCUGUGAUGCUGUGAGGUUGUUGUGUGUGUGAUGCUGUGAGGUUGGUGUGUGUGUGAUGCUGUGAGGUUGUGGUGUGUGUGAUGCUGUGAGGUUGUGGUGUGUGUGAUGCUGUGAGGUUGUGGUGUGUGUGAUGCUGUGAGGUUGUGGUGUGUGUGAAUCUGUGAAGUUGGUGUGUGUGAUGCUGUGAGGUUGGUGUGUGUGAUGCUGUGAGGUUGGUGUGUGUGAUGCUGUGAGGUUGGUGUGUGUGUGAUGCUGUGAGGUUGUUGUGUGUGGGAUGCUGUGAGGUUGGUGUGUGUGAUGCUGUGAGGUUGUUGUGUGUGAUGCUGUGAGGUUGGUGUGUGUGAUGCUGUGAGGUUGGUGUGUGUGAUGCUGUGAGGUUGUGGUGUGUGUGAUGCUGUGAGGUUGUGGUGUGUGUGAUGCUGUGAGGUUGUGUGUGUGAUGCUGUGAGGUUGUUGUGUGUGUGAUGCUGUGAGGUUGGUGUGUGUGAUGCUGUGAGGUUGGUGUGUGUGAUGCUGUGAGGUUGGUGUGUUUGAUGCUGUGAGGUUGGUAUGUGUGAUGCUGUGAGGUUGUAGUGUGUGUGAUGCUGUGAGGUUGUAGUGUGUGUGAUGCUGUGAGGUUGUUGUGUGUGUGAUGCUGUGAGGUUGUUGUGUGUGUGAUGCUGUGAGGUUGUUGUGUGUGUGAUGCUGUGAGGUUGGUGUGUGUGAUGCUGUGAGGUUGGUGUGUGUGUGAUGCUGUGAGGUUGGUGUGUGUGUGAUGCUGUGAGGUUGGUGUGUGUGUGAUGCUGUGAGGUUGGUGUGUGUGUGAUGCUGUGAGGUUGGUGUGUGUGAUGCUGUGAGGUUGGUGUGUGUGAUGCGGUGAGGUUGGUGUGUGUGUGAUGCGGUGAGGUUGGUGUGUGUGAUGCGGUGAGGUUGUUGUGUGUGUGAUGCUGUGAGGUUGGUGUGUGUGAUGCUGUGAGGUUGUAGUGUGUGAUGCUGUGAGGUUGGUGUGUGUGAUGCUGUGAGGUUGGUGUGUGUGAUGCUGUGAGGUUGGUGUGUGUGAUGCUGUGAGGUUGUAGUGUGUGAUGCUGUGAGGUUGGUGUGUGUGAUGCUGUGAGGUUGGUGUGUGUGAUGCUGUGAGGUUGGUGUGUGUGAUGCUGUGAGGUUGGUGUGUGUGAUGCUGUGAGGUUGGUGUGUGUGUGUGAUGCUGUGAGGUUGGUGUGUGUGUGAUGCUGUGAGGUUGGUGUGUGUGUGAUGCUGUGAGGUUGGUGUGUGUGAUGCUGUGAGGUUGAUGUGUGUGAUGCUGUGAGGUUGUUGUGUGUGAUGCUGUGAGGUUGUAGUGUGCGAUGCUGUGAGGUUGGUGUGUGUGUGAUGCUGUGAGGUUGGUGUGUGUGUGAUGCUGUGAGGUUGGUGUGUGUGUGAUGCUGUGAGGUUGGUGUGUGUGAUGCUGUGAGGUUGAUGUGUGUGAUGCUGUGAGGUUGUUGUGUGUGAUGCUGUGAGGUUGUUGUGUGUGAUGCUGUGAGGUUGGUGUGUGUGUGAUGAUGUGAGGUUGGUGUGUGUGUGAUGCUGUGAGGUUGGUGUGUGUGAUGCUGUGAGGUUGU